UACGUAGGGGGCUAGCGUUGUCCGGAUUUAUUGGGCGUAAAGAGCGUGUAGGCGGCCAGUUAGGUCUGGUGUGAAAACUCGAGGCUUAACCUCGAGAUGUCAUCGGAAACCAUUUGGCUAGAGUCCGGAAGAGGAGAGUGGAAUUCCUGGUGUAGCGGUGAAAUGCGCAGAUAUCAGGAAGAACACCAAUGGCGAAAGCAGCUCUCUGGGACGGUACUGACGCUGAGACGCGAAAGCGUGGGGAGCGAACAGG
rnacentral:rRNA from 1 species